AUUGAACGCUGGCGGCAUGCCUUACACAUGCAAGUCGAACGGCAGCGCGGGAGCAAUCCUGGUGGCGAGUGGCGAACGGGUGAGUAAUAUAUCGGAACGUGCCCAGUCGUGGGGGAUAACGCAGCGAAAGCUGUGCUAAUACCGCAUACGAUCUAUGGAUGAAAGCGGGGGAGUCGCAAGACCUCGCGCGAUUGGAGCGGCCGAUAUCAGAUUAGGUAGUUGGUGGGGUAAAGGCCCACCAAGCCGACGAUCUGUAGCUGGUCUGAGAGGACGACCAGCCACACUGGAACUGAGACACGGUCCAGACUCCUACGGGAGGCAGCAGUGGGGAAUUUUGGACAAUGGGCGCAAGCCUGAUCCAGCAAUGCCGCGUGCAGGAUGAAGGCCU
rnacentral:rRNA from 1 species